rnacentral:lncRNA from 1 species
GGUUGGUUUUCCAUGUAAUAUAUCAAGGUCAUCCCAGCAAACAUGUCCUGCCUAACAAAUAAUAAAUAAAACAAUGAUUUGUAAAGAGAUAACGUAAAACCAUAGGGAAAAGAACAUCGAAACGUCAAUGUGCGUAUUGGAAAAAACCACUAAAAGAUGAAAUACUAAAAGCAGAAAAAAAUACCCGUCCUGAUAAUACCGAUACCAGUAACAAUAUUGUUCGGUUGGAGUGGGUUUGGUUCGUCACAUUAGCAAGAAAAAUACUAAAAGGCAAAAUACUAAACGAAAUAAAAGUAGAGGGGCUAAACAUGUAUUUUAGCAAGUUAAAGUAGAGGGACUAAACAUGUAUAUAAGAAAAGUUAAAGUAGAAUGACUAAACACGUAAGUUAGCAAAGUGAAGGGUUAAAGGCGUAAGUUUCUUGACGCCAACCACAAGGCGCCACGUGGCUAUGUUAGAUUGGCCCACCGACUUAGCCUUUUAAGUGUAUAUAUAUAUAUAAUUUUCUUACCUCAAUGUUGGAUAGAAGAUCUGCAUGUGAUAAACCAAGAUACUUGGAACAAGCGCCGGGAUUGCAAAAGCAUCCUGUUACCCGUAGCUGA